CCUACGGGAGGCAGCAGUGAGGAAUAUUGGUCAAUGGACGAGAGUCUGAACCAGCCAAGUAGCGUGAAGGAUGACUGCCCUAUGGGUUGUAAACUUCUUUUAUCUGGGAAUAAAAUGUUCCACGUGUGGGAUUUUGUAUGUACCCUAUGAAUAAGGAUCGGCUAACUCCGUGCCAGCAGCCGCGGUAAUACGGAGGAUCCGAGCGUUAUCCGGAUUUAUUGGGUGUAAAGGGAGCGUAGGUGGAUUGUUAAGUCAGUUGUGAAAGUUUGCGGCUCAACCGUAAAAUUGCAGUUGAAACUGGGUGUCUUGAGUGCAGUAGAGGUAGGCGGAAUUCGUGGUGUAGCGGUGAAAUGCUUAGAUAUCACGAAGAACUCCGAUUGCGAAGGCAGCUUGCUGGACUGCAACUGACGCUGAGGCUCGAAAGUGUGGGUAUCAAACAGGAUUAGAUACCCUUGUAGUC
rnacentral:rRNA from 1 species